AGAGUUUGAUCCUGGCUCAGAACGAACGCUGGCGGCAGGCUUAACACAUGCAAGUUGAACGGGAUUUGUAUGGUGCUUGCACCAUGUAAUGAGAGUAGCGCACUGGUGAGUAACACGUGGGAACAUACCUUGAAGUGGGGGACAACAGUUGGAAACGACUGCUAAUACCGCAUAAUCCCUGAGGGGGAAAGAUUUAUCGCUUUAAGAUUGGCCCGCGGAAGAUUAGGUAGUUGGUGGGGUAAAGGCCUACCAAGCCGACGAUCUAUAGCUGGUCUGAGAGGACGAACAGCCACAUUGGAACUGAGACACGGUCCAGACUCCUACGGGAGGCAGCAGUGAGGAAUAUUGGGCAAUGGAGGAAACUCUGACCCAGCCAUGCCGCGUGAGUGAAGAAGGUUUUCGAAUUGUAAAGCUCUUUCGGAUGGGACGAUGAUGACGGUACCAUCUAAAGAAGCCCCGGCAAACUUCGUGCCAGCAGCCGCGGUAAUACGAAGGGGGCAAGCGUUGUUCGGAAUUACUGGGCGUAAAGGGUGUGUAGGCGGAUUUGUAAGAUAGUGGUGAAAUACCUGAGCUCAACUUAGGAAUUGCCAUUAUAACUAUAGAUCUGGAGUGACAGAGAGGAUAUUGGAAUACCCAGUGUAGAGGUGAAAUUCGUAGAUAUUGGGUAGAACACCAGUGGCGAAGGCGAGUAUCUGGCUGUCAACUGACGCUGAGGCACGAAAGCAUGGGGAUCAAACAGGAUUAGAUACCCUGGUAGUCCAUGCUGUAAACGAUGAAUGCUAGUUGUCGGCAAAAGCCGGUGACGCAGUUAACGCGAUAAGCAUUCCGCCUGGGGAGUACGGUCGCAAGAUUAAAACUCAAAGGAAUUGACGGGGACCCGCACAA
rnacentral:rRNA from 1 species